GCUUAACACAUGCAAGUCGAGCGGAAACGAAGAGGUGCUUGCACCUCUGGCGUCGAGCGGCGGACGGGUGAGUAAUGCUUGGGAAUAUGCCAUAAGGUGGGGGACAACAGUUGGAAACGACUGCUAAUACCGCAUAAUGUCUACGGACCAAAGGAGGGGCUCUUCGGACCUUUCGCCUUUUGAUUAGCCCAAGUGAGAUUAGCUAGUUGGUGGGGUAAUGGCCUACCAAGGCGACGAUCUCUAGCUGGUUUGAGAGGAUGAUCAGCCACACUGGGACUGAGACACGGCCCAGACUCCUACGGGAGGCAGCAGUGGGGAAUAUUGCACAAUGGGGGAAACCCUGAUGCAGCCAUGCCGCGUGUGUGAAGAAGGCCUUCGGGUUGUAAAGCACUUUCAGUUGUGAGGAAAGGUUUGUAGUUAAUACCUGCUAGCUGUGACGUUAGCAACAGAAGAAGCACCGGCUAACUCCGUGCCAGCAGCCGCGGUAAUACGGAGGGUGCGAGCGUUAAUCGGAAUUACUGGGCGUAAAGCGUGCGUAGGCGGUUACAUAAGUCAGAUGUGAAAGCCCGGGGCUCAACCUCGGAACUGCAUUUGAAACUGUGUGACUAGAGUAUUGUAGAGGGUGGUGGAAUUUCCAGUGUAGCGGUGAAAUGCGUAGAGAUUGGAAGGAACAUCAGUGGCGAAGGCGGCCACCUGGACAAAUACUGACGCUGAGGCACGAAAGCGUGGGGAGCAAACAGGAUUAGAUACCCUGGUAGUCCACGCCGUAAACGAUGUCAACUAGUUGUCUGUGCACUUGAUGCGUGGGUGACGUAGCUAACGCGCUAAGUUGACCGCCUGGGGAGUACGGCCGCAAGGUUAAAACUCAAAUGAAUUGACGGGGGCCCGCACAAGCGGUGGAGCAUGUGGUUUAAUUCGAUGCAACGCGAAGAACCUUACCAUCCCUUGACAUCCAGAGAAUUUUCUAGAGAUAGAUUAGUGCCUUCGGGAACUCUGAGACAGGUGCUGCAUGGCUGUCGUCAGCUCGUGUUGUGAAAUGUUGGGUUAAGUCCCGCAACGAGCGCAACCCUUAUCCUUAUUUGCCAGCGAGUAAUGUCGGGAACUUUAAGGAGACUGCCGGUGAU
rnacentral:rRNA from 1 species